UGAACGCUGGCGGCGUGCUUAACACAUGCAAGUCGAACGAUGAAGAUACUGCUUGCAGUAUUGGAUUAGUGGCGCACGGGUGAGUAAUAUAUAGAUAAUGUGCCUCUUAGUCUGGGAUAGCCAUUGGAAACGAUGAUUAAUACUAGAUACUCCUUCUAAACAUAUGUUUAGUUGGGAAAGUUUUUCGCUAAGAGAUCAGUCUAUAUCGCAUCAGUUAGUUGGUAGGGUAACGGCCUACCAAGACAAUGACGCGUAGCGGGUUUGAGAGGAUGAUCCGCCACACUGGUACUGAGACACGGACCAGACUCCUACGGGAGGCAGCAGUGAGGAAUAUUGCACAAUGGGGGAAACCCUGAUGCAGCAACGCCGCGUGGAGGAUGACGCAUUUCGGUGUGUAAACUCCUUUUAUGAGUCAAGAAAAUGACGGUAGCUCAUGAAUAAGCACCGGCUAACUCC
rnacentral:rRNA from 1 species